rnacentral:rRNA from 1 species
CCUACGGGCGGCUGCAGUGGGGAAUAUUGGACAAUGGGGGGAACCCUGAUCCAGCCAUGCCGCGUGUGUGAAGAAGGCCCUCGGGUUGUAAAGCACUUUCAGUGAGGAAGAACGCCUGGUGGUUAAUACCCAUCAGGAAAGACAUCACUCACAGAAGAAGCACCGGCUAACUCCGUGCCAGCAGCCGCGGUAAUACGGAGGGUGCGAGCGUUAAUCGGAAUUACUGGGCGUAAAGCGCGCGUAGGUGGCUUGAUAAGCCGGUUGUGAAAGCCCCGGGCUCAACCUGGGAACGGCAUCCGGAACUGUCAAGCUAGAGUGCAGGAGAGGAAGGUAGAAUUCCCGGUGUAGCGGUGAAAUGCGUAGAGAUCGGGAGGAAUACCAGUGGCGAAGGCGGCCUUAUGGACUGACACUGACACUGAGGUGCGAAAGCGUGGGUAGCAAACAGGAUUAGAUACCCGUGUAGUC